UUUUCAUGAAUGUCGGAGAAUAAAAGUGUUUUGGCCUUGGCUCCCUCCACAGGUUUCUCUUUUCAUGCUGCUGUCUGCAGUGUGCGUGAUCCUCAGUUUGGCCGGCUCCAUGCUCUCCUGUCAGAACGCACAGAUGGUCAAGUCCAUGCUCACCUGUGAGAUAGAGAACGGCCGUUGUGUGUGUUGCGUGGCCGCGGAACCCUGCUCCAGCAAAGAGGAUGGAACCCUUGUCCUCAACCUGAAUUCAGACUGCCACUCGGUUAGACAUCAACUGAAGGACUUGUUGUUUAGCGCGUGUGGUCUGAGCAUUCUUUCCACCAUCAUCUGCACUCUGUCCACGGUUACCUGCAGCAUCCAUAUUUUCUCCCUGGAUCUUGUGCACCUGGUGAGUGCACACAGACACUUUUUUUUUUUUUUUUUCCAACAAGUGCUCAAAAAUUUCAGUUCAUACAUUUACCAAAUUUGGACUU